GACGAAGGGGGCUAGCGUUGUUCGGAAUUACUGGGCGUAAAGCGAGUGUAGGUGGUUGUCCAAGUUGGAUGUGAAAGCCUUGAGCUCAACUCAAGAAAUGCAUUCAGGACUGGGCGGCUAGAGGACCGGAGAGGAUAGUGGAAUUCCCAGUGUAGUGGUGAAAUACGUAGAGAUCAGGAAGAACACCGGUGGCGAAGGCGCUCUGCUAGGCCGUAACUGACACUGAGGGACGAAAGCUAGGGGAGCGAAUGGG
rnacentral:rRNA from 1 species